AUACGGAGGGUCCAAGCGUUAUCCGGAUUUAUUGGGUUUAAAGGGUCCGUAGGCGGGAGAUUAAGUCAGUGGUGAAAUCCUACAGCUCAACUGUAGAACUGCCAUUGAAACUGAUUUUCUUGAAUGUGCUUGAAGUAGGCGGAAUAUGUCAUGUAGCGGUGAAAUGCUUAGAUAUGACAUAGAACACCGAUAGCGAAGGCAGCUUACUAAGUCAUAAUUGACGCUGAUGGACGAAAGCGUGGGGAGCGAACAGGAUUAGAAACCCUAGUAGUCC
rnacentral:rRNA from 1 species